rnacentral:rRNA from 1 species
UACGUAGGGUGCAAGCGUUGUCCGGAAUUAUUGGGCGUAAAGAGCUCGUAGGCGGUCUGUCGCGUCUGCUGUGAAAACUCAGGGCUUAACCCUGAGCUUGCAGUCGGUACGGGCAGACUAGAGUGCGGUAGGGGAGACUGGAAUUCCUGGUGUAGCGGUGAAAUGCGCAGAUAUCAGGAGGAACACCGGUGGCGAAGGCGGGUCUCUGGGCCGUAACUGACGCUGAGGAGCGAAAGCAUGGGGAGCGAACAGG